rnacentral:rRNA from 1 species
GCUACACAUGCAGUCGAGCGGAACGACACUAACAAUCCUUCGGGUGCGUUAAUGGGCGUCGAGCGGCGGACGGGUGAGUAAUGCCUAGGAAAUUGCCUUGAUGUGGGGGAUAACCAUUGGAAACGAUGGCUAAUACCGCAUAAUGCCUACGGGCCAAAGAGGGGGAUCUUCGGACCUCUCGCGUCAAGAUAUGCCUAGGUGGGAUUAGCUAGUUGGUGAGGUAAUGGCUCACCAAGGCGACGAUCCCUAGCUGGUCUGAGAGGAUGAUCAGCCACACUGGAACUGAGACACGGUCCAGACUCCUACGGGAGGCAGCAGUGGGGAAUAUUGCACAAUGGGCGAAAGCCUGAUGCAGCCAUGCCGCGUGUAUGAAGAAGGCCUUCGGGUUGUAAAGUACUUUCAGUUGUGAGGAAGGGGGUAACGUUAAUAGCGUUAUCUCUUGACGUUAGCAACAGAAGAAGCACCGGCUAACUCCGUGCCAGCAGCCGCGGUAAUACGGAGGGUGCGAGCGUUAAUCGGAAUUACUGGGCGUAAAGCGCAUGCAGGUGGUUCAUUAAGUCAGAUGUGAAAGCCCGGGGCUCAACCUCGGAACUGCAUUUGAAACUGGUGAACUAGAGUGCUGUAGAGGGGGGUAGAAUUUCAGGUGUAGCGGUGAAAUGCGUAGAGAUCUGAAGGAAUACCAGUGGCGAAGGCGGCCCCCUGGACAGACACUGACACUCAGAUGCG